GGCUGGGAGACACAGCAGGGACAACUUCUCCGGAGUGCUUUCGGACCAGGAGCGACUUGACCUUCCGUUUACCCUCUUUGAUCUUCGGUCUCUUCAAAGACCUCUGAAGUCAGAAUGGCCGGGGGCUCUGGGAUCGAUGAAUCGCAGUUCAAGGGACUGUCGAAGCACUUCAAUUCGUUCACUGACCGAGGGCGUGCCAAUAUUGCAAAGGUUACCUAUGCUGGCCUUGGCCUGAUAGCGCUAUACUUCUGGGCACGAAAGAAGCCUGCGGCACCAGCGCCUGCAAAAUAGAUGACCAAAUUGUAAAGGAAUAGUCGCGCUCUAUUUGCCCUCAAAACAGGAAAAUAAACAGACUCCAGGCAUUUGGUGCCUCA